AUGACCUUCGGGAGCCUGACAGGUGCUGCAUGGCUGUCGUCAGCUCGUGUCGUGAGAUGUUCGGUUAAGUCCGCUAACGAGCGCAACCCUCGCUGUGUGUUACAAGUGUCACACGGUACUGCCGGUCUAAAAACCGGAGGAAGGUGGGGAUGACGUCAAGUCAGCAUGGCCUUUAUAUCCUGGGCUACACACACGCUACAAUGGCCGGUACAGUGGGUAGCGAAGCCGCGAGGUGGAGCCAAUCCACAAAGCCGGUCUCAGUUCAGAUUGCAGGCUGCAACCCGCCUGCAUGAAGAUGGAGUUGCUAGUAACCGCAGGUCAGCUAUACUGCGGUGAAUACGUUCCCGGGCUU
rnacentral:rRNA from 1 species